rnacentral:rRNA from 1 species
GAUGAACGCUGGCGGCGUGCCUAAUACAUGCGAGUCGAGCGAACAGAUGAGGAGCUUGCUCCUCUGACGUUAGCGGCGGACGGGUGAGUAACACGUGGAUAACCUACCUAUAAGACUGGGAUAACUUCGGGAAACCGGAGCUAAUACCGGAUAAUAUAUUGAACCGCAUGGUUCAAUAGUGAAAGACGGUUUUGCUGUCACUUAUAGAUGGAUCCGCGCCGCAUUAGCUAGUUGGUAAGGUAACGGCUUACCAAGGCAACGAUGCGUAGCCGACCUGAGAGGGUGAUCGGCCACACUGGAACUGAGACACGGUCCAGACUCCUACGGGAGGCAGCAGUAGGGAAUCUUCCGCAAUGGGCGAAAGCCUGACGGAGCAACGCCGCGUGAGUGAUGAAGGUCUUCGGAUCGUAAAACUCUGUUAUUAGGGAAGAACAAAUGUGUAAGUAACUGUGAACGUCUUGACGGUACCUAAUCAGAAAGCCACGGCUAACUACGUG